CUCCGCUUAACUACGUAAGGGGGGCGGUGUUAGUGCGGUGGCUUCCGGCCCGAAGCGGCGGUUGGUGACUCAGUAUCUUUGGGGCGCGUUUCUUAUCCCGGAACCGAAGGGCAAAAAGUCCCUUUGGAGUGGAGGCCUGCGUUCUCCAGCUCUUGACUCUGAGACAUCUCUGCCCAGCAUUGGACAUCUCUUUCCCGUGGAUGGCUGGACCUCGACCAAGGCAUGUGGAAGUUCCCAGGCUAGGGGUCAAAUCAGAGCUGUAGCUGCCAGCCUACACCACAGCCAAAGGACACAGGAUCCGACCCACAUCUGUGGCCCACACAGCAAUUCCUGGAUGUUAACCCACUGGAUUGAACAAGCAUCCUCAUGGAUACUAGUCAGUGACCUCAUGGCUGUAAAAAAAAAAAAAAACCUGCUGCAGCUCCAGGCAUCACAUCUUCCUACCAGUGACUGAAUUGGAAAGGAAGAGAGCAAUGAGGGCUCUCUUCUGUUGACACUCCAUCCCCAGGUCCCUUGACUGCCCUCAAUGGAACCAACAACCUUGGCUGCAACCACAGGAGGUUCUGACCACCAAUGAACCUGCCAAGAUCUCUGAGGAAGACGCAGUGCCAGCUGGAGGGUACUCUGGUCCACCUGUGCCUUCCUCUCAUGGAGGAACAAGCCAGUCAGGAAGCUGCACCACAGCCUGGCUCUGAGACUCCCAAGAACCAGAGGUGGUGAUUCACCAAAUUAAAAUUACUCUGCACGGCUGCAA